GAGCAAUGAUGAAAAGGGUUUACCACUGACCUUCAUAACUAUGAAGCUUUCUUCUGCACUCGAUCUGAGCUCA
rnacentral:snoRNA from 1 species